rnacentral:rRNA from 1 species
CUCCCUGGGACUUCGAGUCCCCUGAAGGGCCCUUGUAGACUACAAGGUUGAUAGGCUGGGUGUGGAAGUGUGGUAACACAUGAAGCUAACCAGUACUAAUUGCCCGUGAGGCUUGACCAU